rnacentral:lncRNA from 1 species
UGAGCAUAAAUCUGAAAGCCUCUAAGUACUGUCUGAAAUAAGGAGUUGAAGGAACAUGUAUCCAACUAACUCCGUAAAAUUGAACUGAAGAAAUAAAUAAAUAAAUCAAAUAAUGUCGUCCUCGAAUAAAGAGGACUCACUGCAACUCUGUAUGCUGAAUACGACUGCUACUGCUGGUCUGGGACUCGUGCCUUUGAACCUAUGGUGUAACAUGAAAAUAAAGCACCAUUGCACAAAUGCGUCAGUACAACUGGAGUACUGAAUAUACGAGGGAGGUAGGCUAAUGCAAAGGGUUUACAUGCAUGAAUAAUACUAUUGACUGACUGAUAUGAACGUAAGAGUACAAACAUACAUACAUACAUAGUAACUAAGAUCGUGAGUACGUAAUGGCUAAAUCUGAACGCUAAUACAUGGCUGGAACCGUAGUUCUGGUAAGAUGGAUGACUGUAUCUGAUAGCCCUAAAUCUGGUUGAACUCUCUGAGUUUCUUGCCAUAACUGAAUUUAACCGUAUUUAAUAGUCCUGGUAUACUGAUAUCUAAAGAACUGCCUGAGUUCUUUAACUGAGACUGAUACUAAAACUGUGGGAAGUAGUUGUUUAACCAACAUGCCCCAUAUAUGCUAUUAUGGCUAAGCUGGAGUCCAAUCUCUGUCCCGACUGGAGGGGUGUCAAUACCGCGCCACUGGUAAGGACAGUUGUGAGUGACCCUUAUCUAGCAGGUACUCAAAGUGAGAAUGGUGGGACCCUAAACUAACAGGUUAAGCCACCUCAUCAACCCUAAUCUGACAGGCUAAGAUGUCUCAACCUAUGCUGGCUACGUAGUUCUGGAACACAAUGAAUACUGCUAAGAAUCACACCCUAAAACUGGUAGGUGAAUCCCCAUCCUUGGGUUCACUCGGUGCUAACUUCUACUCCUAUCUGAAGAGACUAAACAUGAUUCAACUGACUGUACAUGGACAGAUUAACUAACUUUUGUUGACUGAUGGAGUAGUACUAUUAUCUGAGAGUUAACUGAGAUCAUGAGAAUUCUGAGGUUUCCUGAGUCACAUGAUUGACUGAGUUCUAUAGAUUAUAGCUUGAAUGAGAUUAUCGUGACAACAUGACAUGGCUCUAGGCAUACAACUAUAUUUUUCGGGUACGAAUACCCCCAGGACUCGAUAGAAAGAAACUGACACAUAUGACAUGACUUGAUCACAAGAUUUGAGUCCACAAUUCAUAAUAUCAUAAGUAGGGGAUAUCAUAUUUCAUAUAUUUAUUCAACAUCUUAAACAUUGUAGGGAAUGCAUCGAUAUAUUUCGUGUGCAUAUUAUAUAUCUCCAUUAUCUUGCAUGAUUCAUACCACCACAAUAGCAACACAUGAAAAGCAUGGAAUUCAUAUUGAAGUAUAUAGCUAACAUGAACUUGUCAUUUAGACAUCAUAGAACCAUACAAACAUGAACUUUUAGCAUCCUAAGCAUUUUAUCAAACACCUUGCAUGCAUUCUUUAAGGCAUAGGUGGGUUUCAUACUUGCACCAUAUUAAACCACCUAAAGUUCAUGGUUUUCAAUUAACAAACAUAUAUAUUCCAUGAAAACACCUUUAUACAUCACAUUGAAACUUAAAAAACAAUCGUCAAUAUGUACAUACUCAUAUCACCACAAAAAAUUUACAAAAUAAUAUUUAAAACAUGGUUCCUGAGCUCUAUGAACGGAUUGGAUCCAUAGAUGAGCACUACGCAUACCUUAGCGAUUGAAUCUUGAAAGAGAUCUAAUGUUUCUGAAAGUUCUUGAAGAAUUCCUUAGUCUUGCCCUUGAUUUUUCUUGACUAGGGUUUAACCCCUUUGGGAAAGAAUGCUCUUGUUCCUAAGGAGACGAUCUUGAGAGGAAACCCUAAUCUUGUGGUUGAAAGUGUAUGAGAGAGCUUUUUGAGAUGUUUUAAAUAAAGAGAAUGGAAGAUAAUACGUUCCUUGAGGGUUAUAAGUCAUGGGAAGUGAAGGGAAAAGACCAAAAUACCCUUAUGAAAUAAAUUUCCAGUUGCUGAAAAUAAUAGCUGACGACAUUUGUGACAAGGCGUAAAAAAUGUGGUAAGCCGUCAAAAAUGUCGUCACACAGAAGCUGGACUCUGCCUAAGGCUGACGACAUUUGUGACAUGACGUCAAAAAUGUGGUAAGCUAUCAAAAAUAUUGUCACACAGAAGCUGAAUACUGCCUAGGGCUGACGACAUUUGUGACAUUGCAUAAAAAAUAUGGUAAGCCAUCAAAAAUGUCGUCACAUCGAAGCUGCAUACUGCCUAGGGCUGGCGACCUUCAUGAUAGGGCAUCACAAAUGUGGUAAACUACCACGAAUAUCAUCACUUAGGAGCUGGUUUCUACCUAAGGCUGACGACCUUCGUAGUAGGGCGUCACAAAUGUGGUAAGUUACCACGAAUGUUGUCACACUGUUUCCAGCCUGACAUGCUGGAGUAAAAUAGGAAUAACUCUUUUCUCCGAUAUCGAAUUUAGGCAAAAUUGGUAUCAUUGGAAAGAUAAUUCAAUUAUCUAUCUGUUGAUUUGUCACGAGCUCAAAAAUUCUAAGUAUAAUGAGAGAUAUACUCAUUUGAAGUUGACUAUACCAAUAUCCUUCUCAAGAAUUCAAUCGGUAAGGAAUGUUUUGAUUCGUCAGAUAGCUGAGAGUUAUUUGAAGCCUUAAUAUACAUCUAAAAUACUCAUAUAACUAUAAAAGAACCAUGAUGUACUAUGCAUGAGCUUGGUACAUGGCUCUAAUAUUGGUUUGGAUUUUCUGGAGUAUUACAUUGGGAUGGCUUUUUAAAUUAUAAUUUUAAUUAUACACUGUAAAUCUAAAAAAUUGGGAUGGUAUACUUUUUUAAAAAAUAACUGACCAAACCGUCCCAUUGACACCCCUAGCAACAACUUUUCACUAAUAUAGACAUAACUCUCUCAUACGAACUUCAAAUGCGAUGAUUCUUUUUGUGUUGAUUCUAAAAUUUUGAUACAAAUCUACCAGUACCAUAAGCAUAUCCAAAAUAGCUUAUUUAAUACAUGUGAUACUAUUAAAACUCCUUUUUAAAUCAAAUUCGGGCUCAAAGCCAUUUUAUUAACUAAAAAAAGUGUAAUUAUUUACAAAGACAAGGCCCAAAAGUGGCCUGGCCCAUUAAAAAAAAUCCAAACAAGAGUAAUAACAAAACCUAAUCACUAAAUUAGUUAGGAAAGUUGAAGAGGCGACUCAUCUUCUUCCAUAUUUUCUCAAUCACUUAUGUUCUUGCUAAUCACUGCUCUUGAAUAUUAAACACCGUGAAUAAGCUCCAACGAUCAUGUUCAUAUCUACUCUAUUUCAGCUAAGUCUUUGAUUUUAGCCUCUCUUGUUUCUUUCAUCUCUUUCUUAAAUUAGUAUAUUGAGCUUUUAACAAAGCUAAGACCACCACUUAAUCUAAGAAAUCGACUCAAGAAUAAUGGAGAAGUAAGAAUCUGAUUCUAGGCUUUGUGUAACAGGAAUGUACAACAUUAAAUUUUAAGAAUCACUUAGAUAUGAGCCUACCUUUGUUUGAAUACUCUAGCUAUCGACACCCCAAAUCUCACUGGUUGUAGGUUGUCAUAUUCAUGGGAAUCACUUCGAACAAAGGUAAUUUCAAUUCCUUGUUUGCUCCAAAAAUUUUGUGUCUUUAAU